AUACGGAGGAUGCAAGCGUUAUCCGGAUUUAUUGGGUUUAAAGGGUGCGUAGGCGGUUUGCUAAGCGGGAGGUGAAAUGCCGGCGCUCAACGUCGGAAGUGCCUCCCGAACUGGUGGACUGGAAUGACUCUGCCGUGGGAGGAAUGUGUAGUGUAGCGGUGAAAUGCUUAGAGAUUACACAGAACACCGAUUGCGAAGGCAACUCACGAAGGGGUGAUUGACGCUGAGGCAAGAAAGCGUGGGGAUCAAACAGGAUUAGAUUCCCUGGUAGUCCACGCAAUAAACGAUGAUGGCUAACCGCUGGUUUUUUCGGAUCAGUGGCCAAGCGAAAGCGAUAAGCCAUCCACCUGGGGAGUACGACCGCAAGGUUGAAACUCAAAGGAAUUGACGGGG
rnacentral:rRNA from 1 species